GGGGGUGACACGGCUUCGACGGGGAUGAGGAAGCUCAGAACUGCAUACCGUGGUCUCCGGGUCCACGUUAAACAAUCGGUAAACCCUUAAGUGCCGACUACAACUACGCACUGGCUGCUUAAUUAACUUAAGCAACCCGUUCUCUCGAUCUCUCGCCCGUUGGGGAUCUUGAGAACGUCGCUCAGAUGGGCUAGUUCUCCAUUGUUCUCAGGGAUGGAGGACGAAUCCGCCGCAAGCGGAACACCCUGAGAUAGUGUGCGGUCAAUCCAGCGUGCCGGAGUUUCCGCACAUGAACCCAAAGGGCUCGCUACGUAUGGAGACGUUCUGAGGGUCUUCUCUUCGGACCGGGGUUCGACUCCCCGCACCUCCACUG
rnacentral:tmRNA from 1 species